GGAGUUGGUUGUACCAGAAGCAGUUGAGCUAACUAUUCGUAGAGGCAGGCUGCCAAGGUAUGAUCGGUAACUGGGGUGAAGUCGUAACAAGGUAGCCCUAGGGGAACCUGGGGCUGGAUCACCUCCUUU
rnacentral:rRNA from 1 species